rnacentral:lncRNA from 1 species
UGUAACUCUAAGUUAAGGACCAAGUGUCCUUAAUUUGUGAGCUUGUAACUUGAAGUUUAGGACUACAUGUCCUUAACCUUUUAACUUGUAACUCUAAGUUCAGGACUACAUGUCCUUAACUUUUUAACUUGUAACUCUAAGUUCAGGACUACAUGUCCUUAUUUUUUAAACUUGGAACUCUAAGUUCUGGACUACCCGUCCUUAAUUUCUGUGCUUGUAACUAUAAGUUUAGGAUUACUUGUCCUUAACUUUUUAACUUGUAACUCUAAGUUCAGGACUACAUAUCCUUAACUUUUUAACUUGUAACUCUAAGUUCAGGACUACAUGUCCUUAUUUUUUGAACUUGGAACUCUAAGUUCAGGACUACCUGUCCUUAAUUUCUGUGCUUGUAACUCUAAGUUAAAGACCAAGUGUCCUUAAUUUGUGAGCUUGUAACUUGAAGUUUAGGACUACCUGUCCUUAACUUUUUAACUUGUAACUCUAAGUUCAGGACUACAUGUCCUUAAUUUCUGUUCUUGUAACUCUAAGUUAAGGAACACUUGUCCUUAAUUUGUGAGCUUGUACCUCUAUGUUAAGGACCAAGUGUCCGUAACUUAUAAGCAGCUAACAUUCUGAUUCUUAUUUUAAAUACUAUC